GGGGAAUCUUCCGAAUGGGCGCAAGCCUGACGGAGCAAUACCGCGUGAGGGAGGACGGCUUUUGGGUUGUAAACCUCUUUUAUCAGGGAAGAACAAAAUGACGGUACCUGAUGAAUCAGCAUCGGCUAACUCCGUGCCAGCAGCCGCGGUAAUACGGAGGAUGCAAGCGUUAUCCGGAAUUAUUGGGCGUAAAGCGUCCGUAGGUGGUUUUUCAAGUCUGCUGUCAAAGCGUGGAGCUUAACUCCAUACCGGCAGUGGAAACUGGAAGACUAGAGUGCGAUAGGGGUAACGGGAAUUCCCAGUGUAGCGGUGAAAUGCGUAGAGAUUGGGAAGAACACCAGCGGCGAAAGCGCGUUACUGGGUCUGCACUGACACUGAGGGACGAAAGCUAGGGGAGCGAAAGGGAUUAGAUACCCCAGUAGUC
rnacentral:rRNA from 1 species